CAUACACUGCCACAAGAACAGCAACACAGGUGAAGAAAAUGGACGACAUUUGAAAGGACAUGGGAGCGUAAUGAAGCAAAAGGCUACCACCACAAGACCACUGAAGGAAAGAUGGCAAAAGGAGACUGAAAAACAGAGAAGGAGGUGGAGGAGGGGUUGCUGUUGAUUCUGCCCUCCCUCUCUCCUCGCCCUCCUCUGCAUCGCCUCUUCCCUCCUCCUCCCUUCCUCCUCUGCUCCAUCCUCAGCAGACUGCUCCUUUUUCCUGUACAGCAAGAUGCAGCCCGCGCCACCAUCUUAGAGCAACGCUGGCAUGAAAUGGAAGUGGGAAGACCAGUCAGUGCAGGUGAGUGCUGUCUGUGCAGGAUGAUCCGAGAGAGACAAUGGAGAGACAGCGGGACUCCUCCUUCGGCGGCCGUUUACUGCCUUUCAGCCGGGAGUAAACAAGGAC